CACAAAUACUCUUUCACACCUAUAUACUUUGACACCUAUAUAUAUGGACCUGUGGCAUUUUACGUCAAAUUUGGUCAAGUAUUUAUUUUUUUAAAGAAUAAACAAAAUUUUUUCGUAACCUCUCUAACUUAAAGAAAGCUACCUUAAUGGAGCGAGAUAGAUAUUUUUUUAGCCAUGCGUAAAGAGGUUAGACAUAUUUUACAUGACAACAUCAAUUAUGUCAGUUGUGACCAAAUUAUCUUUUGUUUUAGUGACCAAAAAUGGCUAUUGUUGCGGUUCCGGUGUAACGGUAUUCGAAAUAUUACGGAAAUAAUAACCAAUAAGCUUGUGAAUCGCAAAAUAAAUUAAAUAUUGUACAAUGGUGAAGUGCGCAGUUGUUGCCUGCACCAACAAAACCCAAACAAAACUAGCGGGAAAUUCAUUUCACAAAUUUCCAAAAAAGACAAAAAUGGCUAAACAGCAUUAACAGGCCUGAUUUCCAUCACGAUACAGCUGCUAUAUGCAGUAGAAUAAUCUAAUCAUUUUAAGAAGGAUCACAUUAAUUUUACAUUACGCCUUCUGCGCCUCAAAGACAAUGCCUGCCCAUCUAUCCCGAAUUUAUCACCUGAGCAACAAGUAAGACAACCCUAGCAAGAAGUGAAUUUUAAUCUGUUAUCAGAGAGUCAUGACAAUGCUGUUUCCCAAAAUGGAAUACAAGAUAUAAUGGUUGCAUCUACUUAUCAGUCAGUCAGUACACCAAACGUACAAAUAGUAAUGGCUGGUUCAAUUAAGGACGUUUUGGCUCGUAUUGUCAAAAACAUAUUUAAAAACUAAAUUUUUCUUGUAAUAACGUCUCAAAAACAUGUGAAAAAAAAAUGUAUCUAGUAGAACGAUAAUCAAAUAUUUAAGACCAUUUAUAAAAAAAACUGUCAACUAGCCUAUUACUUUUUGAUGUUUAUAACGUAUAACGUUGUAUCAAAAAUUGUAAGAUUUGCCACUUCUAUAAAUAAAUUUUGUUGAUGAA